rnacentral:rRNA from 1 species
GAUGAACGCUGGCGGCGUGCCUAAUACAUGCAAGUCGAGCGAAGCGGGGACGGGUGAGUAUCAUGUGGAUAACCUCCUAUAUGACUGGGAAAACUUCGUGAAACCGGUGCCAAACCGGAUACUGAUCGAUGGUGCGACUCUGCAUUAGCUAGUUGGUAGGGUAACGGCUUACCAAGGCAACGAUGCAUAGCCGACCUGAGAGGAUGACCAGCCACACUGGAACUGAGACACGGUCCAGACUCCUACGGGAGGCAGCAGUAGGGAAUCUUGCGCAAUGGGCGAAAGCCUGACGGAGCAACGCCGCGUGAGUGAUGAAGGUCUUCGGAUCGUAAAACUCUGUUAUUAGGGAAGCGGUACCUAAACAGAAAGCCCCGGCUAACUACGUGCCAGCCGCCGCGGUAAUAC